rnacentral:rRNA from 1 species
GACGAACGCUGGCGGCGUGCCUAAUACAUGCAAGUCGAACGGACAGACGAGGAUCUUGCUGCUUUCACGUUAGCCGCGGACGUGUGUAUCACACGUGUAUCCCCUCCCUAUCAUUCUGAGAUCACUACGAGAAACCGGCUCUUAUACCGGAUGAUCUUUUGAUCCACAUGGUUCAAUGGUAAGAUACGGUCUUUCUGUAUCUUAUCGCUGCAUCCGCGCUGCUUGAGCUAGUUGGUAAGUUCAAGGCUUACCACGGCAACGAUGCGUAACCGACCUGAUAGGGGGAUCGGCCACACUGGAGCUGAGACACGGUCCAGACUACUACGGGAGGCAGCAGUAGGGAAUCUGACGCAAUGGGCGAAAGCAUGACGGAGCAACGCCGCGUGAGUGAUGAAGGUCUUCGGAGCGUAAAACUCUGUUAUGAGGGAAGAACAGAUGUGGAAGUAACUGUGCACUUCUUGACGGUACCGAGUCAGAAAGCCACGGCUAACUACGUG